rnacentral:rRNA from 1 species
UCGAACGGCAGCACAAGUGCUUGCACUUGGUGGCGAGUGGCGAACGGGUGAGUAAUGCAUCGGAACGUGUCUUAAAGUGGGGGAUAACGCAUCGAAAGAUGUGCUAAUACCGCAUAUUCUCUGAGGAGGAAAAUAGGGGAUCGUAAGACCUUAUGCUAUAAGAGCGGCCGAUGUCUGAUUAGCUAGUUGGUAAGGUAAUGGCUUACCAAGGCAACGAUCAGUAGUUGGUCUGAGAGGACGACCAGCCACACUGGGACUGAGACACGGCCCAGACUCCUACGGGAGGCAGCAGUGGGGAAUUUUGGACAAUGGGCGAAAGCCUGAUCCAGCAAUGCCGCGUGAGUGAAGAAGGCCUUCGGGUUGUAAAGCUCUUUCAGUCGAGAAGAAAAAAUUAUGACAAAUAAUCAUAAUUCAUGACGGUAUCGACAGAAGAAGCACCGGCUAACUACGUGCCAGCAGCCGCGGUAAUACGUAGGGUGCGAGCGUUAAUCGGAAUUACUGGGCGUAAAGGGUGCGCAGGCGGUUUUGUAAGUCAGAUGCGAAAUCCCCGGGCUUAACCUGGGAAUUGCGUUUGAAACUACAAAGCUAGAGUGUGGCAGAGGGAGGUGGAAUUCCAUGUGUAGCAGUGAAAUGCGUAGAGAUAUGGAAGAACAUCGAUGGCGAAGGCAGCCUCCUGGGUUAACACUGACGCUCAUGCACG